rnacentral:rRNA from 1 species
UGAGGAAUAUUGGUCAAUGGACGUAAGUCUGAACCAGCCAAGUAGCGUGCAGGACGACGGCCCUAUGGGUUGUAAACUGCUUUUAUACGAGAAUAAUUUGAUGCACGUGUGCGUUAUUGCAUGUAUCGUAUGAAUAAGGACCGGCUAAUUCCGUGCCAGCAGCCGCGGUAAUACGGAAGGUCCAGGCGUUAUCCGGAUUUAUUGGGUUUAAAGGGAGUGUAGGCGGUUUGUUAAGCGUGUUGUGAAAUUUAGGUGCUCAACAUUUAACUUGCAGCGCGAACUGUCAGACUUGAGUACACGCAACGUAUGCGGAAUUCAUGGUGUAGCGGUGAAAUGCUUAGAUAUCAUGAAGAACUCCGAUUGCGAAGGCAGCAUACGGGAGUGUAACUGACGCUUAAGCUCGAAGGUGCGGGUAUCGAACAGGAUUAGAUACCCUGGUAGUCCGCACAGUAAACGAUGGAUGCCCGCUGUUAGCGCCUGGCGUUAGCGGCUAAGCGAAAGCAUUAAGCAUCCCACCUGGGGAGUACGCCGGCNACGGUG